CCUACGUGAGGCAGCAGUGAGGAAUAUUGGUCAAUGGCCGGAAGGCUGAACCAGCCAUGCCGCGUGAAGGUCAGUGCCCUAUGGGCGUUAAACUUCUUUUGUGCGGGAGCAAUAAUGGUCACGUGUGGCCAGACGAGAGUACCGUACGAAUAAGUAUCGGCUAACUCCGUGCCAGCAGCCGCGGUAAUACGGGGGAUGCAAGCGUUAUCCUGAGUUAUGGGGUUUAAAGGGUGCGUAGGGUGUGAUGUAAGUCAGAGGUGAAAUGCCCCCGCUCAACGGGGUGAAGUGCCAUUGAUACUGCCUUGCUGGAAUGCGGAUGCCGUGGGAGGAAUGUGUGGUGUAGCGGUGAAAUGCAUAGAUAUCACACAGAACACUGAUUGCGAAGGCAUCUCACGAAUCCGCGAUUGACGCUGAUGCACGAAAGCGUGGGUAUCAAACAGGAUUAGAUACCCGGGUAGUC
rnacentral:rRNA from 1 species